rnacentral:sRNA from 17 species
UAUAAAGGAACGCAGACUAAAAACGCCACAUCCUGCGGCAGCGUCUGCAUGACCCGAAUCCUGUGGG